CCUACGGGAGGCAGCAGUAGGGAAUAUUGCUCAAUGGGGGAAACCCUGAAGCAGCAACGCCGCGUGGGGGAUGAAGGUUUUCUGAUUGUAAACUCCUUUUGUUAGAGAAGAUAAUGACGGUAUCUGACGACUAAGCACCGGCUCCCUCCGUGCCAGCAGCCGCGGUCAUACGGAGGGUGCAGGCGGUACUCGGGAUCACUGGGCGUAAAGAGCGCGUAGGCGGGAUAGCAAGGCAGAUGUGAAAUCCUAUGGCUUAACCAUAGAACUGCAUUUGAAACUGUUAUUCUAGAGUAUGUGAGAGGUAGGUGGAAUGCUUGGUGUAGGGGUAAAAUCCGUAGAGAUCAAGAGGAAUACUCAUUGCGAAGGCGACCUGCUAGAACAUAACUGACGCUGAUGCGCGAAAGCGUGGGGAGCAAACAGGAUUAGAUACCCUUGUAGUC
rnacentral:rRNA from 1 species